rnacentral:rRNA from 1 species
UACGUAGGGGACGAGCGUUGUCCGGAAUUACUGGGCGUAAAGGGCGCGCAGGCUGUAGAUCAAGUCAGCUGUGAAAUGUCUGGGCUUAACCCGGGCAUGCGGUUGAAACUGAUGUACUGGAGUGCUGUAGAGGCAAGUGGAAUUCCCAGUGUAGCGGUGAAAUGCGUAGAUAUUGGGAAGAACACCGGUGGCGAAGGCGACUUGCUGGGCAGCAACUGACGCUGAGGCGCGAAAGCCAGGGGAGCAAACGGGAUUAGAAACCCUUGUAGUCC